GGGGGGACACUUUUUACCACUUUGGAAGUGUCUCUCGCGCAAACUAUUCAGUUUGGAAAAAAAUGAUAUUAGAAACCUCAAUAUCAUUUUUAAAGACCUAUCCAUAGAUACCCCACACGUAUGGGUUUGAUGAAAAAAGAUUUUUUGAGUUUCAGUUCUAAGUAUGGGGAACCCCCAAAAUUUUGUUUUAUUUUUUAUUUUUGUGUAAACAUCAUAAUGCGGUUCAUAGAAUACAUCUACUUACCAAGUUUGAACAGUAUAGCUUUUAUAGUUUCGGAAAAAAGUGGCUGUGACAGAAUCGGACAGACAGACGGACAUGACGAAUCUAUAAGGGUUCCGUUUUUUGCCAUUUGGCUACGGAACCCUAAAAAGGAAACAUGAAACAACUAAACUGGGAAACAAUUUUACCUAUUUUGAUAUAUAUUUUUUUGUAGGUGUGUAUUCAUUUUGUGACCUAAAAUCACAGUCUAUGUUUCAGAGGUUACGUCGUUCCGUCCAAGUUGCUAGCGUCAGCGGUCUUCAAAUGACUAAGAGCACGCUGUAGAUGAUACAAUGUCAAAUACUUAAGAAAAUCAGAAACAUAGAAAGCAGAGUACUUACUUAUAAUCUUAUAAACAUGGGAAACUCACAAUCCAGUUCCAGCUAGGAAAUGUUUUAUUCGUGUUGAUAACAUCUCACUGGCCCUAAUUCGCGAGGCCGAAAUACGGGCCACACACGACCUUCCCUAGGACUUGGGGCCUUAAACUGACAACACCUAAGACUUAUUAUGUCAAUAACGGUAAUUACAUAAGUUCGACCAUCCUGCUGCUAUAUCAUCAUAUUUAGGUACCAAAUAGGUACUUACAUUUUCUUAUUACUCCGGUGUCUAACGUUACUCGAAUAUAAAGAACACUUAUACUUCUCAUUGUAUUACUUACUUAUGGGAUACUUACUUAUUACACCGAAGUGUGCGUAGUGGAUGCUCCCGACACUUUCGCCUCGCUGGCUCGCACCCGCAACUCAUAGAUUUUUGCGGCCUUUUAACCGACAGCAAUUACCUAUACCGAUUUUUCAGAGUAUUUCGCCAUUCUUGCUUAGCAAAAAACACAUACCUAAUAAUGCCUAUUUAUUUGUAUUUUGUAUAAUUCCCAUUUGAUAGUUUCCUGUGAUAAAUAUUGAGAAUGCAUGCAUACCCUGUUCCUCGGGCUGUUUACUACCCAGGGUAUUGAGGUAUAGUACUAGAGUCACAUGUAACGAAAAUUAAAAAAAUAAUAAAAAUGAAAAAUUGGAAACAAAAUCCCACUAGUUGCCACCAACUUGGUUUAGUGGUAACUACUGGGAAUGUUAUUCCCAGUAAAGUAAGAUUUUUUUACCAAAAUUUUGUUAAGUUCAAUAUUACUAAAAACAGUAGGUAUAUUACCUACAAUGCGCUUAUGAACGUCAAAUAAAGCUACACUGGCUCUAACCCUACAUCUCUGACCCGAGAAGAUUUAAAUCCCCCACUCCCCCAUAGACAGAGAGAGAGAUAGAGUUGUUUAAUCAAUAAUUUAUUAAAAGUUGAAUUAAAUAUAAGAACAAAC